CCCUUAGAUGUUCUGGGCUGCACGCGCGCUACACUGAUGCGUUCAACGAGUUUAUGACCUUGCCCGAUAGGGUUGGGUAAUCUUUUUAAAUCGCAUCGUGAUGGGGAUAGAUUAUUGCAAUUAUUAAUCUUCAACGAGGAAUUCCUAGUAAGCGCGAGUCAUCAGCUCGUGCUGAUUACGUCCCUGCCCUUUGUACACACCGCCCGUCGCUGCCCGGAACUGAGCCAUUUCGAGAAAAAUGGGGACAGACUGCUUGUGGGUGCGCAAGCACUUCUUGCAGAUUGAAACCAUCUUGAUCGGUAUGGCUUGAACCGGGCAAAANUCGUAACA
rnacentral:rRNA from 1 species